UAGCAUAUCAAUAAGCGGAGGAAAAGAAACCAACAGGGAUUGCCCUAGUAACGGCGAGUGAAGCGGCAACAGCUCAAAUUUGAAAUCUGGCUUCGGCCCGAGUUGUAAUUUGCAGAGGAAGCUUUAGGCGCGGCACCUUCUGAGUCCCCUGGAACGGGGCGCCAUAGAGGGUGAGAGCCCCGUAUAGUUGGAUGCCUAGCCUGUGUAAAGCUCCUUCGACGAGUCGAGUAGUUUGGGAAUGCUGCUCAAAAUGGGAGGUAAAUUUCUUCUAAAGCUAAAUACCGGCCAGAGACCGAUAGCGCACAAGUAGAGUGAUCGAAAGAUGAAAAGCACUUUGAAAAGAGGGUUAAAUAGCACGUGAAAUUGUUGAAAGGGAAGCGCUUGUGACCAGACUUGCGCCGGGCGGAUCAUCCGGUGUUCUCACCGGUGCACUCCGCCCGGCUCAGGCCAGCAUCGGUUCUCGCGGGGGGAUAAAGGUCCUGGGAACGUAGCUCCUCCGGGAGUGUUAUAGCCCGGGGCGUAAUGCCCUCGCGGGGACCGAGGUUCGCGCAUCUGCAAGGAUGCUGGCGUAAUGGUCAUCAGCGACCCGUCUUGAAACACGGACCAAGGAGUCAAGGUUUUGCGCGAGUGUUUGGGUGUAAAACCCGCACGCGUAAUGAAAGUGAACGUAGGUGAGAGCUUCGGCGCAUCAUCGACCGAUCCUGAUGUUUUCGGAUGGAUUUGAGUAGGAGCGUUAAGCCUUGGACCCGAAAGAUGGUGAACUAUGCUUGGAUAGGGUGAAGCCAGAGGAAACUCUGGUGGAGGCUCGCAGCGGUUCUGACGUGCAAAUCGAUCGUCAAAUCUGAGCAUGGGGGCGAAAGACUAAUCGAACCAUCUAGUAGCUGGUUACCGCCGAGU
rnacentral:rRNA from 1 species